UACGUAGGGUGCGAGCGUUAAUCGGAAUUACUGGGCGUAAAGCGUACGCAGGCGGUUUUGUAAGCCAGAUGUGAAAUCCCCGGGCUUAACCUGGGAAGUCGCAUUUGGGACUGCAAGGCUUGAGUGCGGCAGAGGAGACUGGAAUUCCUGGUGUAGCAGUGAAAUGCGUAGAUAUCAGGAGGAACACCGAUGGCGAAGGCAGGUCUCUGGGCUGACACUGACGCUCAUGCACGAAAGCGUGGGGAGCAACAGGAU
rnacentral:rRNA from 1 species